UACGGGGGGGGGCAAGCGUUGUUCGGAAUUACUGGGCGUAAAGGGCUCGUAGGCGGCCAACUAAGUCAGACGUGAAAUCCCUCGGCUUAACCGGGGAACUGCGUCUGAUACUGGAUGGCUUGAGUUUGGGAGAGGGAUGCGGAAUUCCAGGUGUAGCGGUGAAAUGCGUAGAUAUCUGGAGGAACACCGGUGGCGAAGGCGGCAUCCUGGACCAACACUGACGCUGAGGAGCGAAAGCCAGGGGAGCAAAGCGGGG
rnacentral:rRNA from 1 species